AAUCUUGCGCAAUGGCCGAAAGGCUGACGCAGCGACGCCGCGUGGGGGAGGAAGGCCUUCGGGUUGUAAACCCCUGUUGCCCGGGACGAACCCCUGGUUUCGACCAGGUUGACGGUACCAGAUGAAUAAGCACCGGCUAACUCCGUGCCAGCAGCCGCGGUAAUACGGAGGGUGCAAGCGUUAUCCGGAUUCACUGGGUUUAAAGGGUGUGUAGGCGGGCUAUUAAGUCAGUGGUGAAAUCUCUGAGCUCAACUCAGAAACUGCCGUUGAUACUAUUAGUCUUGAAUAUCGAUGAGGUAGGCGGAAUAUGUCAUGUAGCGGUGAAAUGCUUAGAUAUGACAUAGAACACCGAUUGCGAAGGCAGCUUACUAAACGAUUAUUGACGCUGAGGCACGAAAGCGUGGGGAUC
rnacentral:rRNA from 1 species